rnacentral:tRNA from 1 species
UCCCUGGUAUCUCAGCUGCUAAAGAAUCUGCCUGCAAUGCAGAAGACCUGGGUUCGAUCCCUGGGUUGGGAA